GAGGGUAUAGCUCAGUGGUAGAGCACAUGUUUAGCAUGCACGAGGUCCUGGGUUCAAUCCCCAGUCCCUCCA
rnacentral:tRNA from 1 species